AUGCUGAACACGGUUAUUUUACUCAUCCCUUUGCCAGGCGCUGUGAACACAAGGUUACUUUGGGUCUUCUCUUCCUUUCUCAGCAGCUCUGGCUCUGGUGGUUUUCACUGUGAUUUCCUCUGCUCCUGCCAACCCCUUCCCAUCUGCUCCCUGUCUUCCAAGAAUCCUGGGCAACUUCUCCAGCAUGGUUCACUCUGUCUCUUUCAAAUACGGCUUCUCUUUCCAGAGGCCUGGGGCAAGAGGACAGGGAGAUGGGAACACCUAGUGAUGUUGUGUGUCUUCAUUUCUCUUAGGUCCGGAGAGUCUCAGAUGUGUUUUUGCGGCAGUGCAGGGAAAGCUGAAGAUCAGCCUCAGGGAGAAGGAUGAGGAUCUGUUCCUGCUUCCCACCUGAGCCGGGAUCUGCGACUGCCCCAGUGAGGGCUGACAUUGGCACCCAACAUCCUCAGGAGGUAAUGGACGAUGUUCACUGGUCAGCGUAACAUUCCCCAGAGACCGCUGGCUGAAGCAGUUCCACCCGGGGAGUCCAUCAGGGAAGAUCUGUCCCGCCUGCCCUUGCAGGUGGGGUGAUAAAGGGAGGUGGUUUUCUGGGGUGUAAUGCACAGUGAGUGUCCUCUGUGCAUGAAUGUGCGUGUACACGCAGGCACCCAGUGCAGUGGGUGCUCCCGCAGGUGUGCGGGCCGUUAUGGGAUGUCUCAGGUCCCUGUCCUGCACCUGCCCAGGAGCAGUGUGCCCUCUGCUGGCUGGACCAGGGAACGGCAGCUCCUGCUGAACCGGGUCGCCCUGUUCCUGUAAACCCUGGGGAAAGGUGUUCUCUCCUGGGGGAGGUGGAGGCCCAGCAUGGUCAGGCCCAGGCGUUAACCUUUCACCCGGACUCGGGCUGGUAUUUCAUUCCAGGGGCUUUGUGGAGGUCUUGCCCUUUUGUGGAGACGCGGUGACUAUUCGGGCAGGUGGCGGGAGAGUCUGGUGGGGCCCUGCAAGGUCACCGGGUGGGGAGUGGACGGACUCCCCCUGUCCCUCUGAACCCACUUCCAAUGCAAGGAUGGAGAAACAGAAGGAGGGGCGGAUAAUAACAAAGCAGCCCGGGCACUUACUCUAUACCUGUUUCUGCGCUAAGUGCUUUUCAUAGAUAAUUUCUAAUCCUGACAACGACUCCGAGGGCUGAUAGCUGUACCGUCUAAGCCCAUUUCUCAGAAGUGAUAACUGAGGCUCAGAGAUGCAAACUUCCAAUAGCAUGUUCGUGCCCAGUGGCUCCUGAACCCGGGACUAAAUGACCUCAGAGCCCCUUCCUGUCCCCACAAGCACACCAGCCCCCAGGCUCCCCACCUCUGAGAGGGCUUGAGGCUGUCCCCCCGCCCCCCCAGGGCCGGCCACUCGGGGGCCAGGAUGCCCAAGGCCCAGCGGAAAAGGAAAGGUAGCUGGGUGACCGGCCUGGCCUGCGGGCCCAGCCGGAGCCGCGGCGGGUGGGGGC
rnacentral:lncRNA from 1 species